ACUCCUACGGGAGGCAGCAGUGGGGAAUAUUGGACAAUGGGCGAAAGCCUGAUCCAGCCAUGCCGCGUGUGUGAAGAAGGUCUUCGGAUUGUAAAGCACUUUAAGUUGGGAGGAAGGGCAGUAAGCUAAUACCUUGCUGUUUUGACGUUACCGACAGAAUAAGCACCGGCUAACUUCGUGCCAGCAGCCGCGGUAAUAC
rnacentral:rRNA from 1 species